UGUGUGUGUGUGUGUGUGUGUGUGUGUGUGUGUCUGUAAGGGGUAGGUUUAGGUGUAGGGUUGGUGUGUGUGUGUGUGUGUGUGUGUGUGUGUCUGUAAGGGGUAGGUUUAGGUGUAGGGUUGGUGUGUGUGUGUGUGUGUGUGUGUGUGUGUGUGUGUGUGUGUGUGUGUCUGUAAGGGGUAGGUUUAGGUGUAGGUUGGUGUGUGUGUGUGUGUGUGUGUGUGUGUGUGUGUGUGUCUGUAAGGGGUAGGUUUAGGUGUAGGGUUGGUGUGUGUGUGUGUGUGUGUGUGUGUGUGUCUGUAAGGGGUAGGUUUAGGUGUAGGGUUGGUGUGUGUGUGUGUGUUUGUGUGUAAGGGGUAGGUUUAGGUGUAGGGUUGGU